ACAAGCUCAAUUUAUCUCCACCUUAAUGUAUAAAUCUACAGAAUAGAUCAAAAUGUGUUGCAAAUAUACUACUGGUUAUUGAUGAGUAAAAGAGAUUCUUCAAAUUGAAAGAGUGUAGUAAGUUUUCUUCACAAUGUCACAUUGAUCAUGUUUCAAUUUAUUGCAAGAAACCUAACCCUAAUUGUUAGGUCUGUUGAAUCAUCAAGAACUUGUAUUAUGAGUCUGUCAUAUGGCCAUUCCAACAUGCACACUGCUCCAAUUGACAUCUGGUAAACCUGCAAAAUGCAGUUUGUACAUCAUUAGAACACUCAGAGAACGACAUGGGAAUAUUUCCUCAAAACCUUGAUAAACAAAGAAUUGCAAUCUAAAUGUGGAAAGUAAAUUUGGAAGUAUUAUAUUGUACAAGCAAGUAGAUAAAGUAGUAUAUAAAGAGCAAAAAUUGGACCUUUUCUUUUUAUCCUAAUUUUGAUGCUUAAUGGUGCAUAAUGAUUGUCAUGUUGUUUUCCAAAACAUGUUUCUUAUUGGAGUCAUUAAUCCCUUUAUGUAUUAUCCUUUUUUCUAUGAACUUGAUCUCAUUUGUGUUUCUUCAAAGUGACACCUGAAUGGCAAUCCUUAGCUUAGCUUUAAUGUCCACUGUCUUCCAGAAUGCCAUGAGUUGGCAGUACACUGACAUAUCUUUAGCUGGCAGAUAUGUGACUUUUAAGAGGGAGGGAGGGAGGGAGAUGUGUUAAAUGGAUCGAGUGCUCCAAGACACCAAAUUCACUGACUGUAGAGAGAAAAAGAAAUGUUAGGAACAACUGACUCCCUGAAAUGAUAGAGAAUUGAGCAGUGAGAUUUGGCCAUUUUGAGUAAAGAACAAGAGCUGGAUUCUGCCUGCAUCUACAGUCAAAGAGCUAGAGAAGAAAACUGAAACUGCUAGAAGAAUUCAUCAAAAAGAUAUUGUAAUCGUUCCACAUACAUAUAAGAUUAAAAAAAAAUGAGAAUGAUCACAUGGAGCAAGGAGUGGCUGGGUCAGACAAGGAAGAAGCACAGUAGCCCUGAACUCUUCAUAUAAGAUAAAGGUGCACCAUUAGAGACUUUGCAAUAGUAUAUGAUCAGAGCAAUCCUCCAUAAUGCACUCCACUUGGUUGCCACUACUAUGAUGUUUUCUUUGUUAAGCUGACCUCAGAAAUCUGCUAUUGUAAGUUGACUGAAUCUCAAACAAUUUAAGUUUAUCAGAAACAUUUCAGUGUGAUCCAUUCCACCUAGACAGCUUGUUCUUUUCAAAAGGUUAGUAGCAUCUAAAACCACAAAGCAUUGAACCCUAGAGUAGUGAGUGAAGGAUCCAACUCUGUUCUAUAUUCUGCAGAAUGCGAUGGAUUGAACAGAUCUCAUUCUUCCAUUCCCUCACACCUUGCACACUAUCUCACAGACUUGUGAACUAUGUUCCUAAAGAGAUUCCAUCAAACUAUCUAUCACAUGAAUGUAGUGAGUGCACUGAGAUAUAUGCACUUGAUGUCCAACACCUAAAGUCUGUGAGAUUGCAAAUUAUGUGUAGGGUAUCAUAUAUGGGAAAGUUAUAAGAUGUUCCUCCAAAAUCAUCCAUCCAACUUCAACUCUCUAUGUCAAUCAUUUGCUUGUUUGAUCAGAUUGAUUUAUGAUAUUUCUUAUUCAAAGUAGAAACACGGGCAGAAUGAUACAGGGUUCCUGCAAAAUCAUUCAUUCCACUUUUCUUUUAAUCUUGAUUGCUCGAUCUUUUUUGUGAUAUUUUGAGAAUUUGAGAUAGGAGUGUGAUGUAUAUUUUUUGUGAGACCUUUAUAGGUUUCCUGCACCAGAAUAGCUGCACGGAGUUUACAUUCUUUUUUCAGAGAAAAAUCAUAGUUUUCCAAUAUAUUAUUCCCCUUCAUAACUUUCCUAUGAAGGAUACACUCUACAUAGAACUUACAUUCCUUUCUUGUCAGAGGAUUUCUAAUACAUUUCAUCCAUCUAUUACGAUCUAUCUAUGCAAAACGAGCUGUUCCAGAUUAAGUUACCUCCCUCUCAUUGAACAUGGGGAUUUGGACGAGGACCAGAGGAUAGGCCAGAGAGCCGAGCUCGACAUCCUGCGACAAUGGCGCCCACUUGUAGAUCCUUUCCGGCGUGCGCCCGAAGACCUUCACGUAGAGGGCGACAAGGGCCAUCGACAGCUUCUCAACUACCAGCAUCACCGACAUGGCCAAGCACACGACGACUGCCGCCUUCAUCGACGGCACCACCACCGCCGCCCUCACUGCGGCCCACGCCGUCGCAGCUCUGUUCAACACUUCCGCGGUCGCCAAGGCCGACAGCAGAUCGCAGGCUUGGUCGAUGUAGAUGGCCACGGUGGUGGAGACAUUGCCUGCAGUGCAAACACCAGUGUAAGCAUCGAGGGAGACGUACGUUAACAUGAGCUGUGGAAAGUGCUGCGUGGAGGUGAGCACCUUCCAUGCUCCUGACCACCUCUUCUCUCUCUCUCUCUCUCUACUGUACCAAGUCUUGGGGGGAGAGAUAACACAGAGGAGAAGGACAAGGACAACACAGCAUGCAUAUAUGGGGUUUACACGGCACUCCGUGGGAGUUGGUGGCAAUCAUAAAAGAGUUGGUUGAUCAUACAAAUCAGAAAUUACAUCAACUUUCCAUGCUCUACUACUGAAUUAUAUGUAUUGUCUAUGUGCUUUAAUCGUCACUUUUUCUCUCUCAUCCAAUUUCACAGAUGUUCUCUCUCUUUUGAUGAACUUCUGUAUUAUCAAGUCAAAAAUAACAUUACUAGUGUUCU